GAUGAACGCUAGCUACAGGCUUAACACAUGCAAGUCGAGGGGUCUCGCGGAAGCUUGCUUUCGAGAGACGACCGGCGCACGGGUGAGUAACGCGUAUCCAACCUGCCCUUCAUAUUGGGAUAGCCUUCCGAAAGGAAGAUUAAUACCGAAUAACAUAGCGAGAUUGCCUGAUUUCUCUAUGAAAGCUCCGGCGAGGAAGGAGGGGGAUGCGUUCCAUUAGGUAGUAGGCGGGGUAACGGCCCACCUAGCCGACGAUGGAUAGGGGUUCUGAGAGGAAGGUCCCCCACACUGGAACUGAGACACGGUCCAGACUCCUACGGGAGGCAGCAGUGAGGAAUAUUGGUCAAUGGGCGCAAGCCUGAACCAGCCAAGUAGCGUGAAGGAAGACUGCCCUAUGGGUUGUAAACUUCUUUUAUACGGGAACAAACCCUGGUACGUGUACCAGAUUGCGUGUACCGUAUGAAUAAGCAUCGGCUAACUCCGUGCCAGCAGCCGCGGUAAAAC
rnacentral:rRNA from 1 species